rnacentral:lncRNA from 1 species
AAGUCACUUUUUUUCUUUGUUUCAUGUUAUUUGUUAGUAAUGAUGUGGCCCUUGCUUUUCUUCAGUAAGGUUUGUUGGAUUAAUUAUUGAAUUUAUUGGAAAACUAUGGAGAAAUUCUAUUCUGGUGGCAAAUAGAUACCAGUGACUUAAUGCUUUGGGCACAAAGCUAAGCAACGUCAAAUCUCUGAGGCUUGAGGCAGUUAAAAUAUCCAGAUUUUGUCUGUAAAUGUUUUCUCAUUUGAAAAUGUAAACUUCCAGAGUUAAAGUUGCCAUUACUAGAAUGUUGCUGGCAUUGCUCCUAUGUCAGAAGAUAAUUGCUGGACUCAUUCCUGACAUGUAACAUUUCUUUCUUUUAGGGAGGUGGGUGACAAACACAGAGCUCACUGCUAAACUACUGCAAUCAAGUGGAUCAGAAACAGAAUUGGAGCUAUUUUAUCUGGACCUAAUUAAAGAACCUUCGUUACUGGCAGGACAAAAUUUCUUCAUAAGGCUAUCUGGAAAGUCAUGUAUAAGCUACGAAACUCUUGGAAUGAGGAAGCCCAGCAAUGGCUACUAGUAGCAAUCAUCUGUGGAUGAAGUAUGUUUCUGUGAGUAAAUUAAAAAUACCAAGGCUAAUGCACUAAUACAGAAGCAAAAUGAGAGCAGGCAAAAUGGUUCUGCACUUUGCUGAUCUAGGCAAGAGCCUUGCAUUUUGGUGUUAUGUCUGUUGCUG